GUGUCCUAUGAUCAUUUUGGUCAAGGAGAUGAAUUAUAUGGAAACUAUAUCCGCAUGGGUUCUAAGGAUGUUGUUCUACACAUUCGACCUAUCCGAUCGUCGGGUACCAUUGCUAGAUGGUCACUUCGAUUAGUAUAAAAAUUUAUUUCUAUGCUACCGACUUAGGUUCGGACCUAUGAAGUCACACACAUUAGAGUUCAUGAUCCAAUCAGAUGGUUGAUCAACGAUUAAAAAUCAUUCUAGGGUUAAAUGAUCAAUACGAUUGACAUUUAACCUAGUGCAAGUGUUGCUGGAGGAUCGAUUAGCAAUUCGAUUGUUAAUUGGCUUAAUUUGAUUAAG
rnacentral:lncRNA from 1 species